rnacentral:tRNA from 1 species
UAGCUCAAUGGUAGAGCAUUUGCCUAGCUUGCACAAGGUCCUGGGUUCAAUUCCCAG